GAUGAACGCUGGCGGCGUGCCUAAUACAUGCAAGUCGAGCGAACAGACGAUGAGCUUGCUCCUCUGACGUGAGCGGCGGACGGGUGAGUAACACGUGUAUACCCUACCUAUAAGACUGGGAUAACUUCGGGAAACCGGAUCUAAUACCGGAUAAUAUAUUGAACCGCGGGGUUCAAUGGUGAAAGACGGUGUUGCUGGCACUUAUAGAUGGAUCCGCGCCGCUUGAGAUAGUUGGUAAGGUAACGGCUUACCAAGGCGAGGAUGCGUGGGCGAACUGAGAGGGUGAUAGGCGACACUGGAACUGAGACACGGUCCAGACUCCUAAGGGAGGCAGCAGUAGGGAAUGUGCCGCAACGGGCGAAAGCAUGACGGAGCAACGCCACGUGAGUGAUGAAGGUCUUCGGAUCGUAAAAAUCGGUUACUAGGGAAGAACAACUGUGUAAGUAACUAUGCACGUCUUGACGGUAAUUAAUAAGAAAGCACCGGCUAACUACGUG
rnacentral:rRNA from 1 species